UCUCCGUAGGUGAACCUGCGGAGGGAUCAUUACUGAGUGAGGGUCUCCGGGCCCGACCUCCAACCCUUUUGUGAACCACCUCGUUGCUCCGGGGGCCCCACGCCGCGAACGGCAGGGUCGCCCCCGAAGCCCAUCAAACCCUGCGUAACCAAGUCGUCGGAGUUUAAACAAAUUAAACAAAACUUUCAACAACGGAUCUCUUGGUUCGGGCAUCGAUGAAGAACGCAGC
rnacentral:misc_RNA from 1 species